rnacentral:rRNA from 1 species
GACGAACGCUGGCGGCGUGCUUAACACAUGCAAGUCGAACGAUGAACCCGGAGCUUGCUCCGGCGGAUUAGUGGCGAACGGGUGAGUAACACGUGAGUAACCUGCCCUUGACUCUGGGAUAACUGCGGGAAACUGUAGCUAAUACCGGAUACGACCCUCGGCGGCAUCGCCAGGGGGUGGAAAGAAUUACGGUUAAGGAUGGACUCGCGGCGUAUUAGCUAGUUGGGGAGGUAACGGCUCACCAAGGCGACGACGGGUAGCCGGCCUGAGAGGGUGACCGGCCACGCUGGAACUGAGACACGGCCCAGACUCCUACGGGAGGCAGCAGUGGGGAAUAUUGCACAAUGGGCGAAAUCCUGAUGCAGCAACGCCGCGUGAGGGAUGACGGCCUUCGGGUUGUAAACCUCUUUUAGUAGGGAAGAAGCGAAAGUGACGGUACCUGCAGAAAAGGCACCGGCUAACUACGUGCCAGCAGCCGCCGUAA